GACGAACGCUGGCGGCGUGCUUAACACAUGCAAGUCGAACGAAGAGCGAUGGAAGCUUGCUUCUAUCAAUCUUAGUGGCGCACGGGUGAGUAACGCGUAAUCAACCUGCCCUUCAGAGGGGGACAACAGUUGGAAACGACUGCUAAUACCGCAUACGAUCUAACCUCGGCAUCGAGGAAAGAUGAAAGGUGGCCUCUAUGUAUAAGCUAUCACUGAAGGAGGGGAUUGCGUCUGAUUAGCUAGUUGGAGGGGUAACGGCCCACCAAGGCGAUGAUCAGUAGCCGGUCUGAGAGGAUGAACGGCCACAUUGGGACUGAGACACGGCCCAGACUCCUACGGGAGGCAGCAGUGGGGAAUCUUCCGCAAUGGACGAAAGUCUGACGGAGCAACGCCGCGUGAGUGAUGACGGCCUUCGGGUUGUAAAGCUCUGUUAAUCGGGACGAAAGGCCUUCUUGCGAAUAGUGAGAAGGAUUGACGGUACCGGAAUAGAAAGCCACGGCUAACUACGU
rnacentral:rRNA from 1 species